UGUAGUAGUGGAUGGAAGCUACUUCUCCCCUCCCCUCACUACUAAUCUGUAUUCAAAGUGUACUAGUGGAUAGAAGCUACUUCUCCCCGUUCAUCACUACUAAUCUGUAUUCAAAGUGUACUAGUGGAUGGAAGCUACUUCUCCCCGUUCAUCACUACUAAUCUGUAUUCAAAGUGUACUAGUGGAUGGAAGCUACUUCUCCCUGUCCCUCACUACUAAUCUGUAUUCAAAGUGUACUAGUGGAUGGAAGCUACUUCUCCCCUUCCCUCACUACUAAUCUGUAUUCAAAGUGUACUAGUGGAUGGAAGCUACUUCUCCCCGUUCAUCACUACUAAUCUGUAUUCAAGGUGUACUAGUGGAUGGAAGCUACUUCUCCCCUUCCCUCACUACUAAUCUGUAUUCAAAGUGUACUAGUGGAUGGAAGCUACUUCUCCCUGUCCCUCACUACUAAUCUGUAUUCAAGGUGUACUAGUGGAUGGAAGCUACUUCUCCCUGUCCAUCACUACUAAUCUGUAUUCAAAGUGUACUAGUGGAUGGAAGCUACUUCUCCCCUUCCCUCACUACUAAUCUGUAUUCAAAGUGUACUAGUGGAUGGAAGCUACUUCUCCCCUUCCCUCACUACUAAUCUGUAUUCAAAGUGUACUAGUGGAUGGAAGCUACUUCUCCCCUUCCCUCACUACUAAUCUGUAUUCAAAGUGUACUAGUGGAUGGAAGCUACUUCUCCCUGUUCAUCACUACUAAUCUGUAUUCAAAGUGUACUAGUGGAUGGAAGCUACUUCUCCCUGUUCAUCACUACUAAUCUGUAUUCAAAGUGUACUAGUGGAUGGAAGCUACUUCUCCCUGUCCCUCACUACUAAUCUGUAUUCAAAGUGUACUAGUGGAUGGAAGCUACUUCUCCCCAUUCAUCACUACUAAUCUGUAUUCAAAGUGUACUAGUGGAUGGAAGCUACUUCUCCCUGUCCAUCACUACUAAUCUGUAUUCAAAGUGUACUAGUGGAUGGAAGCUACUUCUCCCCUUCCCUCACUACUAAUCUGUAUUCAAAGUGUACUAGUGGAUGGAAGCUACUUCUCCCCUUCCCUCACUACUAAUCUGUAUUCAAAGUGUACUAGUGGAUGGAAGCUACUUCUCCCUGUCCCUCACUACUAAUCUGUAUUCAAAGUGUACUAGUGGAUGGAAGCUACUUCUCCCCUUCCCUCACUACUAAUCUGUAUUCAAAGUGUACUAGUGGAUGGAAGCUACU